GAUGAACGCUGGCGGCGUGCCUAAUACAUGCAAGUCGAGCGAACAGACGAGGAGCUUGCUCCUCUGACGUUAGCGGCGGACGGGUGAGUAACACGUGGAUAACCUACCUAUAAGACUGGGAUAACUUCGGGAAACCGGAGCUAAUACCGGAUAAUAUAUUGAACCGCAUGGUUCAAUAGUGAAAGACGGUUUUGCUGUCACUUAUAGAUGGAUCCGCGCCGCAUUAGCUAGUUGGUAAGGUAACGGCUUACCAAGGCGACGAUGCGUAGCCGACCUGAGAGCGUGAUCGGCCACAAUGGAACUGAGACACGGUACAGACUCCUACGGGAGGCAGCAGUAGGGAAUCUUCCGGAAUGGGCGAAAGCCUGACGGAGAAACGCAGCGAGAGUGAGGAAGGUCUACGGAUCGUAAAACUCUGUUAUUAGGGAAGAACAAAUGUGUAAGUAACUAUGAACGUCUUGACGGUACCUAAUCAGAAAGCCACGGCUAACUACGUG
rnacentral:rRNA from 1 species